rnacentral:rRNA from 1 species
AUUGAACGCUGGCGGCAGGCCUAACACAUGCAAGUCGAACGGUAACAGGAAGAAGCUUGCUUCUUUGCUGACGAGUGGCGGACGGGUGAGUAAUGUCUGGGAAACUGCCUGAUGGAGGGGGAUAACUACUGGAAACGGUAGCUAAUACCGCAUAACGUCGCAAGACCAAAGAGGGGGACCUUCGGGCCUCUUGCCAUCGGCUGUGCCCAGAUGGGAUUAGCUAGUAGGUGGGGUAACGGCUCACCUAGGCGACGAUCCCUAGCUGGUCUGAGAGGAUGACCAGCCACACUGGAACUGAGACACGGUCCAGACUCCUACGGGAGGCAGCAGUGGGGAAUAUUGCACAAUGGGCGCAAGCCUGAUGCAGCCAUGCCGCGUGUAUGAAGAAGGCCUUCGGGUUGUAAAGUACUUUUAGCGGGGAGGAAGGGAGUAAAGUUAAUACCUUUGCUCAUUGACGUUACCCGCAGAAGAAGCACCGGCUAACUCCGUG